rnacentral:rRNA from 1 species
GAUGAACGCUGGCGGCGUGCCUAAUACAUGCAAGUAGAACGCUGAAGGAGGAGCUUGCUCUUCUGGAUGAGUUGCGAACGGGUGAGUAACGCGUAGGUAACCUGCCUGGUAGCGGGGGAUAACUAUUGGAAACGAUAGCUAAUACCGCAUGACAACAGUUAUUGCAUGAUAACUGUUUAAAAGGGGCAACUGCUCCACUACCAGAUGGACCUGCGUUGUAUUAGCUAGUUGGUGAGGUAACGGCUCACCAAGGCGACGAUACAUAGCCGACCUGAGAGGGUGAUCGGCCACACUGGGACUGAGACACGGCCCAGACUCCUACGGGAGGCAGCAGUAGGGAAUCUUAGGCAAUGGACGGAAGUCUGACCGAGCAACGCCGCGGGAGUGAAGAAGGUUGUCGGAUCGUAAAGCUCUGUUGUAAGAGAAGAACGAGUGUGAGAGUGGAAAGUUCACACUGUGACGGUAGCUUACCAGAAAGGGACGGCUAACUACGUG